rnacentral:rRNA from 1 species
AGGACGAACGCUGGCGGCGUGCUUAACACAUGCAAGUGGAGCGACGAACCAGGGCUUGCCCUGGGGCAGAGCCGCGAACGGGUGAGUAACACGUGGGUUACCUGCCUCGAUGACCGGGACAACCCGAGGAAACUCGGGCUAAUACCGGAUGUGCCCGCAAGGGGAAAGGAAGCUUCGGCCUCCGCAUCGAGAUGGGCCCGCGGCCCAUUAGCUUGUUGGUGAGGUAAAGGCUCACCAAGGCUUCGAUGGGUAGCUGGUCUGAGAGGACGAUCAGCCACACUGGGACUGAGACACGGCCCAGACUCCUACGGGAGGCAGCAGUGGGGAAUCUUGCGCAAUGCGCGAAAGCGUGACGCAGCAACGCCGCGUGGGGGAAGAAGGUCGUUCGGGUUGUAAACCUCUUUCGAGCAGGGACGAUUGUGACGGUACCUGCAGAAGAAGCUCCGGCCAACUACGCGCCAGCAGCCGC